AGUCGUAACAAGGUUUCCGUAGGUGAACCUGCGGAAGGAUCAUUAAAGAGUUAGGGUCUUCUCAGGCCCGACCUCCCAACCCUUUGUCUAUUGAACCCUUGUUGCUUCGGCGGGCCCGUCGUUAUACGGCCGCCGGAGGACCGACUCCAGGUCCUCUGGCCCGCGCCCGCCGGUAGCCAAAAUCACCAAACUCUUGAAUAAUCGUGUCUAUGAUGUCUGAGUACUUUUAUUAAAAUUAAGCAAAACUUUCAACAACGGAUCUCUUGGUUCUGGCAUCGAUGAAGAACGCAGCGAAAUGCGAUAAGUAAUGCGAAUUGCAGAAUUCCAGUGAGUCAUCGAAUCUUUGAACGCACAUUGCGCCCUUUGGUAUUCCGAAGGGCAUGCCUGUUCGAGCGUCAUUAUCACCCCUCAAGCCCUCCGGCUUGGUGUUGGACGGUCUGGUCGAGCUGCUCGACCCCUCCCAAAGACAAUGACGGCGGCCUGGUUGGACCCCCGGUACAUGGAGCUUCUUGAUUGAGCACGUAUCGGUUUCAAGGCGUCCCCGGGACCCGGUCUCACUCUCUCCCCUCGCGGGAGGGAACCCCCCUUUUUUCUAAGGUUGACCUCGGAUCAGGUAGGAAUACCCGCUGAACUUAAGCAUAUCAAU
rnacentral:misc_RNA from 1 species